UUCAAGAGCUAAUCCUAAAAUCCUCCUUUCAUAUAGGAUUUCCUUGCUGAAAUACACCUUUAGAGUGACUAUGUGAGAAAAGUGAGGAAAAAUACGUGAAUGUUCAAUCACCCUGACACCAAAAUGAAAAGCAAUUCCAAUUCAAACCACGCAGGAUAGAUGAUGACUGGGAUGUGGCAUUUCCCCAUCAGUGUGCCAGGGUUGUGAGCAGUUCCCAGUGGAAGAGCUGCAACAACUUCGUCCCUUAACCUCCACUGAAGAAUGCAUGGGAGACAGAGUGAUGCUAUUACAGAAAAAAGCUUGGAUCUGCUUUAAUUUAUUAUUUUGAAAUUCAGUUAUUCACAAAGCAAAUACUGCUGACUGAUCAAUCCCAGUGCUCUUUCUGGCUGAUCUGCAACCAAAUCUUAGAAACCAACGAUGCUCUGGGCAGCCGGUACCAUCAACCGUAUCAGCAUAACAGCAUGAAAUCUGUUAGUUAUCUCUGCAAAGCAAAGAAAGGAAUGUCUAAUACAGGAAAACCUCAUUACCUGAAGGUAACUUGUGUUGGAAAAAUCCCACCUACAGUUAGUCACUUAAAACAGAAGCUAGUAUUUCAAAGUAAAUAGAAAAAAUUAAGGGUGAAUAGAGCUUUAUCUUAGAAAAAAAUGAUACUCAAUAUUCAUUUGUUUAUUUCAUACUACAAACAUUUGUUGGGUAGCUACCACGGUAGACACCAUUUUCAGCCCUGGGGAUAGAGUAAUGAAUAAGACCUACAAAUCUUUGCCUUCAAAGAGCUCCCGUUCUAGUGGGAGAGACAAUUAUAAUACAAAGAGGCAAACAAAUAUUAAAUAUCAGGUAGUAACAGGUCCUAUGAAGAAAGUAAGGCAGAAUAAAGUGAUGGGAGCUGCUGAUUUAGAGGGUGUGGUCAGAGAUGUUUUCCCCAAGGAGGCACAUUUGAGCAGAUGGGGUGGUUUUCCCAGCAGGGGGAAUAGUAAGUGCAAAGAGCCUAGGGAAGGAUCAAGUUCACCUAUUGAAGUAAGAGCAGGGAGGCCAAUAUGAUUGGAGACAAGUUCAGUUGUCUCUUGGCCAGAGCGCACACAGCCUGGUAGAUGAUGGUAAACAGUAAAUACACUAUAAAAGUGUUCUUAACUUACAGUUGGGAUAUAAUUGUGAUA